GACGAACGCUGGCGGCGUGCUUAACACAUGCAAGUCGAACGGAAAGGCCUGUCCUUCCUUGUGUUGGACGGGUACUCGAGUGGCGAACGGGUGAGUAACACGUGAGUGAUCUGCCCCCAACUUGGGUAUAAGCCUGGGAAACUGGGUCUAAUUCCCGAUAGGACUGCAGGGUGGUGCCUGUGGUGGAAAACGAUUUUCUAGUGGUUGGGGAUGAGCUCGCGGCCUAUCAGCUUGUUGGUGGGGUAAUGGCCUACCAAGGCGGCGACGGGUAGCCGGCCUGAGAGGGUGGACGGCCACAUUGGGACUGAGAUACGGCCCAGACUCCUACGGGAGGCAGCAGUGGGGAAUAUUGCACAAUGGGCGGAAGCCUGAUGCAGCGACGCCGCGUGGGGGAUGACGGCCUUCGGGUUGUAAACUCCUUUCGACCGCGAGGAAGCCGCCUGGUUGGAAGGGUGGUGACAGUAGUGGUAGAAGAAGCACCGGCUAACUACGUG
rnacentral:rRNA from 1 species